rnacentral:lncRNA from 1 species
CAGGGAUAUAUGGCUUUAUUUUAAAAAGAAACCAAUGUCUUUCUUUAGCACAAACACAGCAGUGGCCCAUGGCAAUCAGACGUCAUUUACACAACGCUCUUCAAAGUCACACCUGAAAGGCACACGGCACAGACAUCACACUUUGGGCAGCACAGUCGCCCACACAGAGUACACUUCUCACUGUGAAGUCCCCAGCUCAGAGAAGAAUGGAUGGCUGUGUACUGGGAGGAGGAGGGGCUUGCUCUCCCAAGCACCAUGGUGACCGAUUUUCCUCAGGAUUGUGUGACUCUGGCUGGGACACUGCCAGGACCUUCUCUACUGGUGAGCCAUGGAAAGGAUCUGUCCCGUCGUCGCCCACAGGUGGGGGCGAGCCACUGGGAACCUGGCCUGUCAUUGGGAUCUGAGGCCCCCCACACAGACCAAGACACAAAUAGCUCCCGGCCCACGCUGCUUCCAGUGUGCUGACGAUGGCUGUUUGCUCCUGUUUCUUCUCCUUUUUAUUUAUUACUUUUUUUUAAGGGAACAAGAUCUGGGGUAAGAGCUGGUAGCUUUGGAAAACUUUUUCUGGUUCUCGAGAGAACAAUGGCAAAAUGGCAGCCUAGGCCUUGGCUCUCACAGUUCGAGAGAACCAGGGAUCCUCUCGAAAGAUGCAACUGCCCAACAGGUGCAGGGUGAAGGGAAGACAGGGCUCUCCCCAAUCCCCUGGCUCGUGGUAUAUCCCAAGGCCCAGCUCAUGACAGGAAGUUAUUUUGGGUUAGCUCCUACUUCUUCAGACAAGCAGAUAUGUUCAGAUAUGUUCACACGGAUAAGGUGUGUGCGUGUGCGUGUGCGCGUGCGUGCUUGCGUGGUGAUGUGGGAAGGGGUAUAUGAAGGCAGGGAGAAAACUAAUGUUGAGACUGAGACCAGGAGAGCAAACAAUAGAAUCUCGGCAACAGUUUCAUUGUGCAGUGAGGUCCAGGCAGCGCAGACAGCGCAAGUCCUGCUUGCCACGGGAGCCGUUAAACAGGAUAGUUUCCACCCUGCAUCAAGUUUCUCACACACUAACAUUCUUAAUGGGAAGGUGGGGGCACUUCCUUCCUCUGAGGGUUUUGGAGGACUUCAUCCCCACAGUACAGCUCUGGCCUUCCUCCCAUCCCAGUCUAGCAAAAUCUUGCUGUCCAGAGGGCUGGGCUCCUUGGUUGGUGUCACAUCAGAAGGCUGAUGUGCUCAGCAGCCUUGCCCCUCCGACGGUGUGGCCUUGGUGGACAAGUGCCCAUAGGAGAGAGCGGUGGGGCAGCGAGAGCAGGGGCUGCUGGGUGGUAGUGUGUCGCACAGGUUCCCUAGGUUGGUGGUGUGCUCCUUCCUUGGCAUCUCACCAGGUGGCCGGUACAGAGGCUGGAAGCUGCUCCACGGUUGCCAUGGCAACCAGCAUCUUCACUCUCCCCCCCCCCCCCUUAACCACCCCAGCCAGCCAGGAGGCUCCAGGUGGGAGGCACAGGUUCGCUGCUGGCGCCACCGGUGUGGGAGGAGUGACUGGGCUACUCGCCAGUCGCCUCAGGGACCUCUUCCUCUGCUUCACCCAGGCCUGGGAUACCCUUCAAUGUCCUCAGAGUUUUGAUUCCAAACUUCUUCACCCCUGUGAUUAUGGGGUAUCUCGGGCCCUUUGAAGGAGGUACCACAAGUGCUGGCACAUCAGACUUGCUCCCCUACCUGCACCGGAGCACUGCUGAGACAACAUCCCCUCCAGCGCAACCACAUAGUCAGGACCCAGCCAGUCCAGGUAUGUGGUUUUCUCCCGGACUGGCACCGCUCGGACUGUAGCAUCUUUGAAAAGCAGGUCUUGGCUGUGAUAUUUGGAGGAGUCAAACAUUUGGAAACCGUUCUUGUUAUGGUCGUCUCCAAACAGGUCCUGGA